GACGAACGCUGGCGGCGUGCUUAACACAUGCAAGUCGAACGCUGAAGCUCAGCUUUUGUUGGGUGGAUGAGUGGCGAACGGGUGAGUAACACGUGAGUAACCUGCCCCCUUCUUUGGGAUAACGCCCGGAAACGGGUGCUAAUACUGGAUAUUCACUGGUCUUCGCAUGGGGGUUGGUGGAAAGGGUUUUUCUGGUGGGGGAUGGGCUCGCGGCCUAUCAGCUUGUUGGUGGGGUGAUGGCCUACCAAGGCUUUGACGGGUAGCCGGCCUGAGAGGGUGACCGGUCACAUUGGGACUGAGAUACGGCCCAGACUCCUACGGGCGGCAGCAGUGGGGAAUAUUGCACAAUGGGCGCAAGCCUGAUGCAGCGACGCCGCGUGAGGGAUGGAGGCCUUCGGGUUGUGAACCUCUUUCGCUCAUGGUCAAGCCGCAACAAUGGUUGUGGUGAGGGUAGUGGGUAAAGAAGCGCCGGCUAACUACGUG
rnacentral:rRNA from 1 species